CCUGAGCGUGUCACAUGGACAUGAUAUAAUGAAAAGGCAGGAACAUAGACCCAGAGUGCGCUGAGCUUUUGCCUGAUGGAGAGGAGACUAAAGAUCUACGCAGCCGUCCGCCGACAGCCGGCAGCCCUGCAGGGAAAGGGACAGCGGGGACGGGCCGAGCCGAGCCGAGCCGAGCCGAUCCUGGCCGGGGCGGACCGAGCCGGACUCACUGCGCCUCAUCGGACAGGACCUCUCUAUUUGCAGUUGCACCUGCCAGCUAUGACACGCACUUUUAAAGAGGAGGAAAAUGUCGCCUGUGAGUGCGCGUCUUUGGUCCCGAGGAGGAGGAGGAGGGGGAGGAGGAGGAAGAGGAGGAGGAGGAAGAGCGGAUUCAGCGUGAGUGAAGUUAUUUCUAAAUGCUCUGAUGGCUGAUGUGGGAUCGGCGCUGCGUGUGCUGCCGCAGGUGCGUUUGCGCGCUUGUGUUGUGCCUGGGUGUUUGCUGUAUUCUGCUUGGCAUGCUCGGCCAGCUCCCGCCACCACCACCACCUCCUUCUCCUCUUCCUCCUCCUCCUCUUCCCUUGACACACUCUCACACCCAUCACCCUGCAAGUCCACCAAAGUGAGAUACAUCCCCAAGGCAACAGAAGCGAUGGCGACACUGGCCCUGAAGGGAGUGAGAGAGAUGAGUGAAAAAAUGUGAAGAGGCAGGGUGGGUUAUAGAAACAGUUGCGAGGUCAGAGUGAUGAAUAAAGAAGAAGGAACCAGGAACAAAAACAGACAAACCAAUCGAUGCUACCCAUUUUCAGGCCCCUGCUAUUGACAUGGUUGUAUUUGCUUGUGGAUUUAUCCGGUCUGUUUGUACAUCCUUUUCUGGGUCCUGGCUGGGAGAGUUUCUUUGGUCUGUAGUCUGCCUUUGUCCAGCAGACGAAGGAGGGAACACUCUUUCCGCAGAACCAGUUACCCCAGUGACCAGCACUACCAACACACUCUGCAGGAAGAAAUGACAGAGUUAUGUGGUGAUUUUAUAAUGUCCCAUGUUCUAGUGCAUCCACAAAACAGCAUAAACAAGCCUCUUGAUUUCUGAGAAAGCCUCUUGAUGUGGGCAGGACUUGGUGACGCUGCUGACUUUGUUGUGUUUUUAUACACAUGCGUUUCCUUCAUCUAUCAUCAACCACAACCACCUCUACACAUUGAUAAGCAGUGCAACAGCUCCCCUCUUCUUUGCUGGCUUUUACGUCAGUGUGACUGGCCUAGAUUGUUGAAAAUGGCCCUGGAACACUUGCCGUUUAUAGCCUUUCCUCUACCUCUCCCUGAUGUAACAGCAGAGCACGACUUUCCCAAAAAAAUUUAAAAAAAAAAUCUGCUGCCCUUUCCUAAAUGCUGAACAAUGGAAUCAGAAACAGGGAUGAUACUCACAGAACAGACCAGUUCUUGGCCAUCACCAAAAGCAAAAGUUAGUUCUGACUGUCACAGUCAUAUGUGGGCCAGUGUAGAAUAACAAAACCUUUUACAGUGAAACAAAAAAAGCUUGACUCUACAGACGGACUCACUCACACACACCAACUCAAUGCAUCCAGCAUCCUUGUGGUGCCAGAAAGUAGACAUGAACAGAGACUAACUUUGUUCACUGUGAACCGUUAUAAAAUAUACACAAAAGGAUUAAAAAUACUGAAAUGUUUUGUUUUGUUAGAAUACAAUGGUAUAGUCAAUGUUAGCCUAUUAUUAAUCUUAAACUAACACUUUCUCCUAACAAGACUUUUAAUACCAUGAUAUUAAUAUGGGCUGUUUUAACAUAAAAUUAUUAAUAUUGUAUCUGUGCAGCAUAAUUUUGAAGCAGAGUUACUAUUAGUUUAGUGCUUUCUCAACACAGACUCCUGACAAGUUACACAUUAGUAAAUAUAUCACAGUUUUAAAUACAUUUAGAUAAAUUAGUAUUCCUUGGCCUUUUCUUGUUAGUGGAAGAACGACAACAUCAUCAUCACUUUGUCGAGAUGAUUUAAAAAAA